UAUUCCACGCUAUCCACGCAAACGAACUCAAUUCUGGCUGUUUUAGAAAUGUUUGUUUAAUACCAUUCUCGCUCUGUUUUUAUAACGUAUUGCAAUUUGAAAACUUUGGAUGGAAUUAAAGCGGAAACUUUGACGUUUCACUGAAGUUGACGCGACGUAAAUAGCGACACACACCCGCGCGCGACCACCGCCUCACCUGUAUAUCUUGUAUCUGGUGUUGAAGCCCUGCUGGUAUCUCUCCGCCGCCUCGGUGAACUCUAAACACUGGUGGAACGGACCUUUAUCGGAGAGGAGCCAGCCCAGAGAGCCGGAGGGAGCUUCGCCGGUCGCCACCGCGGAGCUCCAGCAGCAGCAGAGCCAGAGGCAGAGAGCCGCCCUCUUCCAUCCCAGAGACAGCCGCUUAUGACUGGAUCUCUGGCCGCUCAUGCUUCACCCAGCGACUCCUCAUUCUCUCCGGACUGGGAGCAUAACGAUAGAUCAUUAUUCAACAAAGCCCCUCAAGAAAAUAUACUCUUGUUUUUUUGUUUUUUUUUAAUCCUGAAAUUUGGUCUCACGUACCUGUUCUGGACCGAAUCGUGUUGUUGUGCUUUUGAAGAAAGUGAACUCCGGCGAUCCGUUCAAACAAGUCUCCAGUUUGAUUCCUCAAAGUCAGUCAGCGAAUUACAAAGCAAUCUUUUGGUUUGACUUGUUCAACUUUUAAGCAGACGAGCAAAUCCUGUACCAUCCCAGCCGAGGCUCAUUUCUUCAGCGGAUUCUCCACAAAGAAUCCGUGGAAAUGCAGCGUCCCCAGCUGCUGCAGCUGUUCUCCCCUCUUCGCUGGGUUGGUGAAUGAGCUGCUUCCACGCAGAGACCCCCCACCACCGCCUCCAUCCCUCCUCCCCUUCAUCUAAAAGAGAGCUAGGAAGAGGGCGAUCAAGUACAUCAUGAUGGAGGAACUGACAACUGAACAUUGACUUCACGUCCGCCCAGUCAGCACCAGAUCUGGGCACAGUGUGGCCCGGGGGCCGGAGACAUACCUGUGAAGGGCCGCCUGUGGCCCCCAGGAGGUGCCACGAGCCGAAACGGUACCUUCUUGCUGCAAGCCUGCAGGACUAUCCAGAGUGCAGAACCCCUUGACCACCUGGGAGCGUGGAGACCUUGAGAGUGGGUGUUUCCAAUCUAUUUAUCGCCUGAAUUGAUGGAGAAAAAAAGUUAUCCAAAUCAUGCGUCCAUAACUUUUCAAGUUAUUUUGAAGUCAAAACAAACAAACCAAUGCUGCUGACAACAUCAACUCCUUGGAGGAGGUGCAAAUACUAUAACAUUCAGAUGAUCUCAGUUAUAACACAUUAUUUAAAAGGUAAAUUAAAAAACAAAAAUACAAUAUUCAUGUUUCCUUGAUUGUUUUGUUUGAUGCUGCACGUCCUGCUUUGAUCUCCAUAUUUUCAGAUUCACGGUGGCAUUUGUUUUAAUGGUUUAUUUAUUUUUUAACAAUCUGCUUUGUUUUUUAAUGUCUCAUGAAUGGAUUUAUGAUUUAUAGAUGUGUUUUCCUUCACGUUAAUGUUUCAUUUGUCCUCCUGAGAGAGAUAAAUAACAUCAUCCUCCCUGCUGUCACGUUCCAGCUCUAACUCCCGUUCGUCACUCCAUCGUGCUUGAAGAUUGAAGUGCGGUGUAAAAGUCCACACGUCAAAUUGAAUAUUUAUUUUCGUGCACUUUGUAAAUGCUCUUCGUGUCUGUCCGUAUUCAUUAUUUAGCCUUAAACGGAAUCUCUUCCAUUAAGCGUGGAAGUGUAUGUUUAUCGGCCCGAUCUGUGCGGGUAAAGGGGGAGUCGGCGUGUUUGCUCAAGGGGGCCAUAUUUAUUUGUCUUACACAACACACACAUGACUCGGUGCCAUGUACGAGUGUGAGUUUUAUCACCAUCUGCUCUGCCAUCUCACAGAGAUAUAAAACAUGGCAGCAGCCCUCAUACAUAUAAAUACAAGCUCAUCACGUAUUCCGGCGACGCAGGAUUAUGGGCUAGCUGUGCCGCCCCUCAGGUGAAUUCUGCCUCGACUCAUGCCUCUGCCCAUUUGAUGCUAAUUCAGGGACUAUCCUGACUCAAGUGUGAACAUGAACUCCAUUCGUCACAAGCUCUGAAGCCAAAACUAAACUUCUCCAAAAGCGUGUGUGUCGGAUUGGUCCGGUGCCACCUACCAAGUUUUCUCUUUUGACCCACUUUCCCUGAUAUUCCUGGGUGUUUUUUUUUUUUUUUUUUUAUAUGAUUUUGAAGUAGGUCAUUGACUCUUGCCAUCAUCAGAAUUCCAAAUUCAUUCAUUUUAUUCCCCAUUUUUUUAAAUAAAUGAAUCUCCACAAUGCAUUAAAGAAUAUUUUUGACCCACAAACAAGGUGCUGGUGAAGUGAGAUAAAAACUUGGAGAAAGGUGUGGCACUGACGUGACCGAUGCAGGGGGCGCUGUGAUGGAUUGACGUGGGUGCAAUAACAAGGUCUUGUGUGUCGUGUUUUCUCAAUAACGCUCUGCUCUGUCACAGCAUGCACUCAAGUGGACUUGACGGCAGAUAAAUGACGAAUGGCGCCAUGAAGCUGAAGGGCAAAACCGCCAUUACUCAUCGCGAUAAUUUAGCAUUUUGACAAUGAUAUCAAUCAGAUGCUCAAGCAAUAAAAAAUUGGGACACGGAAUCAAGAGUUGCAUUAAAAUCAGCUUUCAAUGAGGCAAAGUUCUGCCGGCAUACUGGUGAUAUUCACACCUGACGUGUUAGAACUCAUAAAAGCAACCACCUCAGACACUUUUAUCGUUUUGGGAGGAAGUGAGACAGAAGUGCUGUUAGAACCGCCGCUUGUUUUGUCAAGCUCAAAGCGCGGGUGAUUUAUCUAGCGCCAGAAAGUGUUUUUAUGUGGCCCACUAGAGCUUGAAAUGGCUUAAAAUGAGAUUAUAUAAGUGAACCAAAAACCUA